UACGUAGGGUGCAAGCGUUAAUCGGAAUUACUGGGCGUAAAGCGUGCGCAGGCGGUUGUGCAAGACAGAUGUGAAAUCCCCGGGCUCAACCUGGGAAUUGCAUUUUGUGACUGCACGGCUAGAGUGUGUCAGAGGGGGGGUAGAAUUCCACGUGUAGCAGUGAAAUGCGUAGAGAUGCGGAGGAACACCGAUGGCGAAGGCAGCCCCCCUGGGCCAACACUGACGCUCAGGCACGAAAGCGUGGGGAGCAAACAGG
rnacentral:rRNA from 1 species